rnacentral:rRNA from 1 species
AUUGAACGCUGGCGGCAGGCCUAACACAUGCAAGUCGAGCGAGCGGCGGACGGGUGAGUCAUGCGAGGGAUUUGCCUAGAGGAGGGGGAUAACAGUUGGAAACGACUGAUACUGCCGCAUACGAUUGGUUUGCUCAGGUGGGAUUAGAUAGUUGGUGCGGUAAUGACUCACCAAGGCGACGCUCCCUAGCUGGUCUGAGAGGAUGAUCAGCCACACUAGAACUGAGACACGGUCCAGACUCCUACGGGAGGCAGCAGUGGGGAAUAUUGCACAAUGGGGGAAACCCUGAUGCAGCCAUGCCGCGUGUGUGAAGAAGGCCUUCGGGUUGUAAAGCACUAUCAUCGGGGAGGCGUUACUCGCAGAAGAAGCACCGGCUAACUCCGUGCCAGCAGCCGCGGUAAUAC